rnacentral:rRNA from 1 species
GAUGAACGCUGGCGGCGUGCUUAACACAUGCAAGUCGAACGAAGAGCGAUGGACGCUUGCUUCUAUCAAUCUUAGUGGCGAACGGGUGAGUAACGCGUAAUCAACCUGCCCUUCAGAGGGGGACAACAGUUGGAAACGACUGCUAAUACCGCAUACGAUCUAAUCUCGGCAUCGAGGAUAGAUGAAAGGUGGCCUCUACAUGUAAGCUAUCACUGAAGGAGGGGAUUGCGUCUGAUUAGCUAGUUGGAGGGGGAACGGCCCACCAAGGCGAUGAUCAGUAGCCGGGCUGAGAGGAUGAACGGCCACACUGGGACUGAGACACGGCCCAGACUCCUACGGGAGGCAGCAGUGGGGAAUCUUCCGCAAUGGACGAAAGUCUGACGGAGCAACGCCGCGUGAGUGAGGACGGCCUUCGGGUUGUAAAGCUCUGUUAAGCGGGACGAAAGGCCUUCUUGCGAAUAGUGGGAAGGAUUGACGGUACCGGAAAAGAAAGCCACGGCUAACUACGGG